AGACGCAGCCGCCUUAGGACCCUAGGACAGUUUUUUGACUGUUAUAUCGGAAAAACUUUCAUCAAAUCACUCAAAUCGGAUUUUCCGCUUGCUGCUCACCACUUGCCGCUCGCAUGUAAGAGUAUCCCGAAAAUCGAAAAGUAUAUCACAUUAGCACUUUCUCCAUGCCAUGGAGGCUAUAGCAGUCCCUAAGGUUCAACCAUGGAGCCUAUGGUUAUAAAAUACAUGCAACAAUUUGUUUUCGUGAAAAAGCAUACUGAAAUUGCUUUCACGUUAUCAAGUACAUUUUGUUUCAGAUUCUGUAACUGUGCUUUUAAAUGUCAAUAAGUCAUUUCUUUCAUUCCAAGUGCCAUUGACUUUCCUGCAAUAAGCAACAUAAUGACCCAUACCACCUUUGAAGCUUGAAGGGAUAUAUCUUGCAACACCAUAUAGAGCAAAGAUUUGAAAUUUUUUGCUUAAUUGAAUAUAGAGGUCACUGGAUUAUGACUAAAAGAAAGCUUAAUUUGAAAAAGCUUAAUUUGAAAAAGCUUUUUUUUGAAAAAAUAGUUAUUGUCCUAUUCAUGUCACCACAUGCUGUCUACAAAAUAAGCCAAGUGUUUAUGCAUGAUGUAUCUCAAUGAUGACAAGACGAUAUACAAUUUUACUCUAUUCAUUGUUGAUGAUCUGGAUGCUUUUUAUAAAUGAAAUACUGUACAAAGUUAAUGUGUAAUCAAAAUAUAUAUCAAUGAAAGUUAAGGGGUACAUUCGUGACGACGUUUGUGUGAAAAAGGAGAUCAGUGUAAAUUUUUGUACGAGUAUGAUAUAGUCAAAAAUGCCAGAAUGCUACUUCUACUCAUGUUACAAUGCAUGUAACAGCAAAGAAUACUCCAUUUACAUAUUUAUCUAGAAACUAAAGUUAAAGAUUGUCCUUGGUACGAUAUAGAUUUUUGUAGGCAUGAACCACUGUGUAGGCAUCGACAUGUCAGGCGUGUUUUAUGCAUAUCUUAUUUGGCUGAAUUUUUUUUUGAAGGAUCUAAUUGUAAAUGUAUACAAUUUAGCUCCUAAGCAAGGGAUGAUUACGAAUUACUUUGUAGUUUGUGCGAGAGAAAUAAACUGACUCACUAGACCAUAAUGCUAAUAAGUUUUCAGUGACUAGUCGCUUACUUAUUUAAGUAAUAGUUUAUUAAUUUGAGAGGCAACAAAUGUUAUUAAAAUAAAAUCCUUUUCAUUUAAACACCCUCUGUCUACUUUGCAGUCAUUUGACAAAAGGUUAUAUGCAAUGUACACAUCCUCAGACUGGUAGUAAGAAAACCCUUACAAGAGAGGUACCUCCAGGAUGGGAUAAAUGUAUUUCAAGUGAUGGACACUGUAGUUGAGCUUCAUGUUAUUACUAAUCUGGUAUUAUUGUACUUUGACGAUACGAGAAGUUAUACUUAAAGUCAAUUAGUCAAGAAUAAAAGGCUGAUGGCGUUUUCACCACUUUUUGUCCACUGUUGUAGCAGGUGUACUAUUAGUAUGGCCAAACACUGGGCCAUAGUAUGCAUUACGUCAACAGUUCAUGUGGUUUAAUGUUUAUAUAAGUAAAGUACAAUAUUUGCAAUUCCGUUAUCAAAGUGGCGUUCUUUAUUGUAACUGGUUUGGUGAACAAAGCGGAGAGCAGUCUCGAGCAUCUCUAGCAAAACAAUUGACAGAAAGCCCAUUAAAGCACAAGUCUAACGCUUUAUUAAAAGAUACAACAAAUUUGGCAGUUAAGCAUCCAGAAAACAUUAGUAAGACGCCAACGGGCAACAAGGAAAAAAAAAGAAAAUGACAAGUUCAACUCUGGGAAAUCAGCUAGAAAAUCGACGGAAAAAACAGUGUAACAGAGGUCAAGAGAUUUUGGAGCGUUUGAUUUUAAGUCGCAAGUUUGGGAGAAAUUUUAAAUUUGAUAAAAAGGCUAUACUUAAUUGCUUAUAACAUAAAUAGUAUAAGAAGCAAUUAAGUAUAGAAAACUUCUGUGAUCUCAUUAGUGUAUAAUUUGAUUAUUAGCUUUCACUGCCAAACUAGUUUUAUCUCUUAUGUUAUAUUAACAUUAAUUUAUCAAAUUAAUGACGAUAACCGAAAAAAUGUUAAUAAUUGUCAUUAUUAUUACUAAAUUAUUGGCAAUUUUAAGUUGCGUAAAUGAAAUUUAAUAUUUUUUUCCAAUGUUAAGUAGAAAUUGGUAGAAAUAUUUUAGGUGAAUGGUACAAAUGUAUAUUAAGAGAUGUAGUAAAAUGAUUUAAUGACUUUUAUGUUGCUCCUUGUGUAAUAAGUUGGAUGAAUUUUACUGAUUAAUACAAUUGCAGUAUUAGCAACAUGAUCUGUAUAGUUCCAAAAUAAAAUAUUUACAGACUAUCAAUAGUAUUGAGAUAUGUUGAAUAUCGUUUAUUAACCUUUUUUCGCUGUAAAAGUGUUAACGUUGAUUUAAAUAAGUGAAUGAGAAAAAUAUAAAAAUU